rnacentral:rRNA from 1 species
UGGGGAAUAUUGGACAAUGGGCGAAAGCCUGAUCCAGCCAUGCCGCGUGUGUGAAGAAGGUCUUCGGAUUGUAAAGCACUUUAAGUUGGGAGGAAGGGCAGUAAGCGAAUACCUUGCUGUUUUGACGUUACCGACAGAAUAAGCACCGGCUAACUCUGUGCCAGCAGCCGCGGUAAUACAGAGGGUGCAAGCGUUAAUCGGAAUUACUGGGCGUAAAGCGCGCGUAGGUGGUUCGUUAAGUUGAAUGUGAAAGCCCCGGGCUCAACCUGGGAACUGCAUCCAAAACUGGCGAGCUAGAGUAGGGCAGAGGGUGGUGGAAUUUCCUGUGUAGCGGUGAAAUGCGUAGAUAUAGGAAGGAACACCAGUGGCGAAGGCGACCACCUGUGCUCAUACUGACACUGAGGUGCGAAAGCGUGGGGAGCAAACAGG